GAUGAACGCUGGCGGCGUGCUUAACACAUGCAAGUCGAACGAUGAAGCCCAGCUUGCUGGGUGGAUUAGUGGCGAACGGGUGAGUAAAACGUGAGUAUCCUGCCCCUAACUCUGGGAUAAGCCUGGAAAACUGGGUCUAAUAUCGGAUAGGAGCGUCCCCCGCACGGUGGGUGUUGGAAAGAUUUGGCGGUUUUGGAUGGACUCGCGGCCUAUCAGCUUGUUGGUGGGGUAAUGGCUCACCAAGGCGACGACGGGUAGCCGGCCUGAGAGGGUGACCGGCCACACUGGGACUGAGACACGGCCCAGACUCCUACGGGAGGCAGCAGUGGGGAAUAUUGCACAAUGGGCGCAAGCCUGAUGCAGCAACGCCGCGUGAGGGAUGACGGCCUUCGGGUUGUAAACCGCUUUCAGUAGGGAAGAAGCGAGAGUGACGGUACCUGCAGAAGAAGCACCGGCUAACUACGUG
rnacentral:rRNA from 1 species